GCACGUCCUGGCCGGGUUCGAGGGCGCCGAGGUCGCUGUCCGCGGUGAAGUCGGGUGGCAGGUGCACGAGCCCGUGCCGCCGGGCGUGGCGCGCCA
rnacentral:tRNA from 1 species